rnacentral:rRNA from 1 species
UACGGAGGGUGCAAGCGUUAAUCGGAAUUACUGGGCGUAAAGCGCGCGCAGGCGGCUUCGCGCGCCCGACGUGAAAGCCCCCGGCUUAACCGGGGAGAGUCGUUGGGGACGGCGGAGCUUGAGGGCGGGAGAGGUCGGUGGAAUUCCCGGUGUAGUGGUGAAAUGCGUAGAGAUCGGGAGGAACACCUGUGGCGAAGGCGGCCGACUGGGCCGACCCUGACGCUGAGGCGCGAAGGCGUGGGGAGCGAACGGG